UACGUAGGGUGCAAGCGUUAAUCGGAAUUACUGGGCGUAAAGCGUGCGCAGGCGGUUUUGUAAGUUUGUCGUGAAAGCCCCGGGCUCAACCUGGGAAUGGCGAUGGAUACUGGCUCGCUAGAGUGCGGUAGAGGAGAGUGGAAUUCCCGGUGUAGCAGUGAAAUGCGUAGAGAUCGGGAGGAACAUCAGUUGCGAAGGCGGCUCUCUGGACCAGCACUGACACUGAGGCACGAAAGCGUGGGGAGCAAACAGG
rnacentral:rRNA from 1 species